GGAAUAAAGUGCGGGACGUGUCCCGUUUUGUAUGUACCUUAUGAAUAAGGAUCGGCUAACUCCGUGCCAGCAGCCGCGGUAAUACGGAGGAUCCGAGCGUUAUCCGGAUUUAUUGGGUUUAAAGGGUGCGUAGGCGGCCUUUUAAGUCAGCGGUGAAAGUCUGUGGCUCAACCAUAGAAUUGCCGUUGAAACUGGGGGGCUUGAGUAUGUUUGAGGCAGGCGGAAUGCGUGGUGUAGCGGUGAAAUGCAUAGAUAUCACGCAGAACCCCGAUUGCGAAGGCAGCCUGCCAAGCCAUUACUGACGCUGAUGCACGAAAGCGUGGGGAUCAAACAGGAUUAGAUACCCUGGUAGUCCACGCAGUAAACGAUGAUCACUAGCUGUUUGCGAUACACUGUAAGCGGCACAGCGAAAGCGUUAAGUGAUCCACCUGGGGAGUACGCCGGCAACGGUGAAACUCAAAGGAAUUGACGGGGGCCCGCACAAGCGGAGGAACAUGUGGUUUAAUUCGAUGAUACGCGAGGAACCUUACCCGGGUUUGAACGCAUUUCGACAGCUCUGGAAACAGAGUCUCUAGCGAUAGCGAUUUGCGAGGUGCUGCAUGGUUGUCGUCAGCUCGUGCCGUGAGGUGUCGGCUUAAGUGCCAUAACGAGCGCAACCCUUGCCACUAGUUACUAACAGGUAAAGCUGAGGACUCUGGUGGGACUGCCAGCGUAAGCUGCGAGGAAGGCGGGGAUGACGUCAAAUCAGCACGGCCCUUACAUCCGGGGCGACACACGUGUUACAAUGGCGUGGACAAAGGGAAGCCACCUGGCGACAGGGAGCGAAUCCCCAAACCACGUCUCAGUUCGGAUCGGAGUCUGCAACCCGACUCCGUGAAGCUGGAUUCGCUAGUAAUCGCGCAUCAGCCAUGGCGCGGUGAAUACGUUCCCGGGCCUUGUACACACCGCCCGUCAAGCCAUGGGAGCCGGGGGUACCUGAAGUCCGUAACCGCGAGGAUCGGCCUAGGGUAAAACUGGUGACUGGGGCUAAGUCGUAACAAGGUAGCCGUACCGGAAGGUGCGGCUG
rnacentral:rRNA from 1 species